rnacentral:rRNA from 1 species
GAUUGAACGCUGGCGGCAGGCCUAACACAUGCAAGUCGAGCGGUAGCACAGAGAGCUUGCUCUCGGGUGACGAGCGGCGGACGGGUGAGUAAUGUCUGGGAAACUGCCUGAUGGAGGGGGAUAACUACUGGAAACGGUAGCUAAUACCGCAUAAUGUCGCAAGACCAAAGUGGGGGACCUUCGGGCCUCAUGCCAUCAGAUGUGCCCAGAUGGGAUUAGCUAGUAGGUGGGGUAACGGCUCACCUAGGCGACGAUCCCUAGCUGGUCUGAGAGGAUGACCAGCCACACUGGAACUGAGACACGGUCCAGACUCCUACGGGAGGCAGCAGUGGGGAAUAUUGCACAAUGGGCGCAAGCCUGAUGCAGCCAUGCCGCGUGUGUGAAGAAGGCCUUCGGGUUGUAAAGCACUUUCAGCGGGGAGGAAGGCGGUGAGGUUAAUAACCUCAUCGAUUGACGUUACCCGCAGAAGAAGCACCGGCUAACUCCGUGCCAGCAGCCGCGGUAAUACGGAGGGUGCAAGCGUUAAUCGGAAUUACUGGGCGUAAAGCGCACGCAGGCGGUCUGUCAAGUCGGAUGUGAAAUCCCCGGGCUCAACCUGGGAACUGCAUUCGAAACUGGCAGGCUAGAGUCUUGUAGAGGGGGGUAGAAUUCCAGGUGUAGCGGUGAAAUGCGUAGAGAUCUGGAGGAAUACCGGUGGCGAAGCGGCCCCCCUGGACAAAGACUGACGCUCAGGUGCGAAAGCGUGGGGAGCAAACAGGAUUAGAUACCCUGGUAGUCCACGCUGUAAACGAUGUCGAUUUGGAGGUUGUGCCCUUGAGGCGUGGCUUCCGGAGCUAACGCGUUAAAUCGACCGCCUGGGGAGUACGGCCGCAAGGUUAAAACUCAAAUGAAUUGACGGGGGCCCGCACAAGCGGUGGAGCAUGUGGUUUAAUUCGAUGCAACGCGAAGAACCUUACCUGGUCUUGACAUCCACAGAACGUUCCAGAGAUGGAUUGGUGCCUUCGGGAACUGUGAGACAGGUGCUGCAUGGCUGUCGUCAGCUCGUGUUGUGAAAUGUUGGGUUAAGUCCCGCAACGAGCGCAACCCUUAUCCUUUGUUGCCAGCGGUUAGGCCGGGAACUCAAAGGAGACUGCCAGUGAUAAACUGGAGGAAGGUGGGGAUGACGUCAAGUCAUCAUGGCCCUUACGACCAGGGCUACACACGUGCUACAAUGGCAUAUACAAAGAGAAGCGACCUCGCGAGAGCAAGCGGACCUCAUAAAGUAUGUCGUAGUCCGGAUUGGAGUCUGCAACUCGACUCCAUGAAGUCGGAAUCGCUAGUAAUCGUAGAUCAGAAUGCUACGGUGAAUACGUUCCCGGGCCUUG